rnacentral:rRNA from 2 species
GUCGAACGAACCAUCCUGAAGAUUGAAGCUUGCUUCAUGAUUCAGACCUUGGUGAGUGGCGGACGGGUGAGUAACACGUGGGUAACCUGCCCAAAAGUGGGGGAUAACAUUUGGAAACAAGUGCUAAUACCGCAUAACAACUACUUUCACAUGAUCGUAGCUUGAAAGAUGGCUCUGCUAUCGCUUUUGGAUGGACCCGCGGCGUAUUAGCUAGUUGGUGAGGUAAUAGCUCACCAAGGCAAUGAUACGUAGCCGACCUGAGAGGGUAAUCGGCCACAUUGGGACUGAGACACGGCCCAAACUCCUACGGGAGGCAGCAGUAGGGAAUCUUCCACAAUGGGCGAAAGCCUGAUGGAGCAAUGCCGCGUGAGUGAAGAAGGUUUUCGGAUCGUAAAACUCUGUUGUUGAAGAAGAACAUGCGUGAGAGUAACUGUUCACGUACUGACGGUAUUCAACCAGAAAGCCACGGCUAACUACGUGCCAGCAGCCGCGGUAAUACGUAGGUGGCAAGCGUUGUCCGGAUUUAUUGGGCGUAAAGAGAAUGUAGGCGGUUUAUUAAGUUUGAAGUGAAAGCCCUCGGCUCAACCGAGGAAGUGCUUCGAAAACUGGUAAACUUGAGUGCAGAAGAGGAAAGUGGAACUCCAUGUGUAGCGGUGGAAUGCGUAGAUAUAUGGAAGAACAC